rnacentral:rRNA from 1 species
GACGAACGCUGGCGGCGUGCUUAACACAUGCAAGUCGAACGGAAAGGCCCCUUUUGGGGUCCUCGCGUGGCGAACGGGCGGGUAACACGUGAGUAACCUGCCCUUGACUUCCGGAUAACUUCAUGAAACUGGGGCUAAUACCGGAUAGGAAUCCUUGCUGCCUGGUGGGGGUUGGAAAGCUUCGGCGGUUUUGGGUGGACUCGCGGCUUAUCAGCUUGGUGGUGGGGUAGUGGCUUACCAAGGCUUUGACGGGUAGCCGGCCUGAGAGGGCGAACGGCCACAUUGGGACUGAGAUACGGGCCAGACUCCUACGGGAGGCAGCAGGGGGGAAGUUUGCACAAUGGGCGGAAGCCUGAUGCAGCAACGCCGCGGGCGGGAUGACGGGCUUCGGGUUGUAAACCGCUUUCAGCAGGGGCGAAGCUUGUGGUGACGGUACCUGCAGAAGAAGCACCGGCUAACUACGUG